UUUCCGCAGGUGAACCUGCGGAAGGAUCAUUAAAGAGUAAGGGUCUUCGGGCCCGAUCUCCAACCCUUUGUUUAACUACCAUGUUGCUUUGGCGGGCCCGUCUCACGACCGCCGGAAGUUUGGCUUCGACCAAACUUCUGGCCCGUGCCCGUCAGUGGCCCCUUCAAAUUCUUGAUCAAGUAUGAUGUCUUAGUUAAAAACUUAAUAGUUAAAACUUUCAACAACGGAUCUCUUGGUUCUG
rnacentral:misc_RNA from 1 species